rnacentral:rRNA from 1 species
CACGCCCUAAACGAUGUCAACUGGUUGUCGGGGAAGCAAUUCCUUGGUAACGAAGCUAACGCGUGAAGUUGACCGCCUGGGGAGUACGGCCGCAAGGUUAAAACUCAAAGGAAUUGACGGGGACCCGCACAAGCGGUGGAUUAUGUGGAUUAAUUCGAUGCAACGCGAAAAACCUUACCUACCCUUGACAUGUACGGAAUCCCCCAGAGAUGGGGGAGUGCCCGAAAGGGAGCCGUAACACAGGUGCUGCAUGGCUGUCGUCAGCUCGUGUCGUGAGAUGUUG